UUGGUAAUGAAGAAAGAGAAGUGCGAUCCCACAUAAUUAGGAAACCUGAUCCAAUGGGUUGGAUCAGUGAUGAAGAAAAUCGUCAAAGCUUUGUAUGUAUUCCUUCAAAACCAUUGUUACACCAAUGAGCAUCAACCUGGAUGUAUUCAAGAGGGAAUGAUUCAUAUUUCCUUACUGGCUGAAUAGACAAGGAUUAUCUGACUUCGGUCAAAUGAAGGGAAG
rnacentral:lncRNA from 1 species